rnacentral:rRNA from 1 species
UACGGAGGGUGCAAGCGUUGUUCGGAUUUAUUGGGCGUAAAGGGCGUGCAGGCGGUUUCGCAAGUCCGAUGUGAAAGCCCCGGGCUCAACCCGGGAAGUGCAUCGGAAACCGCGAGACUUGAGUACGGGAGAGGGCAGUGGAAUUCCUGGAGUAGGGGUGAAAUCCGUAGAUAUCAGGAAGAACACCGGUGGCGAAGGCGGCUGCCUGGACCGAUACUGACGCUGAGACGCGAAAGCGUGGGGAGCAAACAGG